GCCGGGCGUAGUGGUGCACGCCUUUAGUCCUAGCUACUUGGGAGGCUGAGGCGGGAGAAUCACUUGAACCCAGGAGGUGGAGGUUGCAGUGAGCCAAGAUUGUGCCACUGCACUCCAGCCUGGGUGACAGAGCGAGACUCCGUCUCAA
rnacentral:sRNA from 1 species